rnacentral:rRNA from 1 species
UACGAAGGGGGCUAGCGUUGCUCGGAAUCACUGGGCGUAAAGCGCACGUAGGCGGAUUGUUAAGUCAGGGGUGAAAUCCUGGAGCUCAACUCCAGAACUGCCUUUGAUACUGGCGAUCUUGAGUCCGGGAGAGGUGAGUGGAACUGCGAGUGUAGAGGUGAAAUUCGUAGAUAUUCGGAAGAACACCAGUGGCGAAGGCGGCCCGCUGGACAAGUAUUGACGCUGAGGUGCGAAAGCGUGGGGAGCAAACAGG